rnacentral:misc_RNA from 1 species
UGGUUCUGGCAUNGAUGAAGAACGCAGCGAAAUGCGAUAAGUAAUGUGAAUUGCAGACACCGUGAAUCAUCGAAUCUUUGAACGCACAUUGCGCCCUUUGGUAUUCCGAAGGGCAUGCCUGUUCGAGCGUCAUUACACUAUUCUUCGGAGUAUUGGCACUGACUAACGUCUUGCCUAAAACACUUGGUGGUAACUAUCAAUCACGCAUAGUAAUCUCUGCGAAGGCUGAUGGGUAAACACCUAAAAACUCUUUUGUUUGACCUCGGAUCAGGUAGGGAUACCCGCUGA